UACGUAGGGGGCCAGCGUUGUCCGGAAUCAUUGGGCGUAAAGCGCGCGUAGGCGGUCAGGUAAGUCCGGUGUGAAAGUCAAAGGCUCAACCUUUGAAUGCCGCUGGAUACUGCUUGACUUGAGUCCGGAAGGGGCGAGUGGAAUUCCUGGUGUAGCAGUGAAAUGCGCAGAUAUCAGGAGGAACACCAAUGGCGAAGGCAGCUCGCUGGAACGGUACUGACGCUGAGGCGCGAAAGCGUGGGGAGCGAACAGG
rnacentral:rRNA from 1 species